GGAACGAUGGCUGAGUGGUCGAAAGCACUCCCUUGCUAAGGGAACGUACGGGUAACCGUACCGAGGGUUCGAAUCCCUCUCGUUCCGCCA
rnacentral:tRNA from 3 species